AUAAGUCAUAUCCUUCUCUCUUGUGUACUGUCGACUCCCUGAUUUUGACUCGACAUAUUUUUCUUCUAUUUAGUAAUCAAUUGCUUCUUCAUCGUGUAACUUUUGCUAAAGUCGAGACCAAUAGCACACAAUUAAUCAAUAGGAGUACAAACCAAUAACGGUAAAAUUAUUAAGAUAGAAUCAUACUCAUGUAUUCUAACGGAAAAAAUAAUAACUUGAUAGUCACUUGCCCUCCAUAUACAAUGGUCAUUUGCACCGACACGGAAGCUAGCAUUGCUUGAUUUGGCUAGUGUUGAUAUACGAGGCGGACACACAUGGCUACCUUUGCGUGCAUCUUCUUGGCUUCGACAUACUGGUCGUGUGUUUUUUUCUUUUGCUAUUUUCUAGCUAUUUAACAAUUAGUUGUUACUAUCAGCGUAAUUUGUGUAAUUUUUUAUUUGUUUUUCUGAAUUUUAUAUAUUAGUUAUUUAAAAGGAAUGAUUUUAAAUAAAGUUUAUAUUUUAUAAUAAAAGACGUUUCUUCUUUACAUACCGUUUUCAAAUUAUGGCCUGCUUUUUGAUUUUUGGCCUUUUUCUUCUUAUAGCUGUUGCAUGCCCAAUUGCCCAUGGUAAAUCCCAGCGUGUUGCCUGUUGGUUAUGCAAAGUUGUAGGUAGGCUACGCGUUGUCCUUUUCCCAAUUUGAUUUUUUUUACCGUUCGGAGCACGGUUCAGAGGUGUAGAUAGAUAGAGAUAAUUUCCAAACUGAAGAGGGUCGACUUUAAAAACCAUAAUUCGAGUAGAGAUUGGAGUUGAAGGAAAAAUAUUACGGAUCGAAGCCUAUACGGACUGGAUAGGCGAAAAAAAGAUGUCUGCUGGACUGAAAUUUUCAUAAUUAUAUAUUAGAAGAAAGAUUGUAGAUUUCGUUCAUUUUAAUUUUCUAGACAUAAUUUAUAAUUUUCGGUACCGAGAAUAAAAAUUUGUUAGACAAAAUUAUAAAUCUGACAAAUGUAUUUGAUCAAAGUUAAUAUUGUUUGACUCCUGAUAAAUGAGAAUAAGCAUUCUUUUAGGCACGGACAAAGAAAUUUAUCCACAAACAUGCGUGAAGAUGUGCUGUACAUACUAUGUACCCGUACUCCGUGAUGUACAAAACUAGGACCAGCAGAGGCUAAUUGUCUCUAUAGCAGCAGGCUACAAUAAUUUGUCUCCGUGGUCCAAAACGUGGGAAGCCUGUUAAGUGGUUGUUUGGUUCACAUAUUUGUUCACUUGUCUAAGUUGUAUUUUUUCUAACAGCCAACAGUGUUUUUCUUUCAUAAUAAAUCAGCGAAGAAUAUUUUCAACUAUAACUUUUCAGAUCAGCGAACAUGCUAGUCUCAUUUACUUUCAUUUAGUCAUUUUUUAUCUAAACACUAUAACUAAAUGAGGUUAAAUGGACUUUAGUCAUCUCUAGCAAUUCUGGAAUAACUAAAUAAGACUAAACUAUUUAGAAGGGACUAAAGUUUAGCAGCCCGAAAAACACCCGUGAUGUCCAUCCAUCCAUUAUAUAAGUUGUUGCUAGGCAGCUAGGGUCUUAGUAUUUUCGUUUUAUUUUAGUAAUUAGUAUCUAAUUAUGGAAUCUCUAGAUUUAAAAGAUCCAUCUCAUAAUUUAUAGAUAACUUGUACAAUUAGUUUUUUUAUCUAUAUCUAAUGUUGUAUGCAUGUGUCCAAGAUUUGAUGUGAUAGAUGAAAAGUUUUUAGGUGAAACUAAACAAGGCCCAGGUAUAACUAGGGACGGGAUAGAUAUGCAGCCAACUACGUGACGACAAAAUCUCGAGGAGCUGACACAGAUAUAUGGACUAGAUAGAUUUUAAUAAUAUAAUAGUACGUAUCAAUAAUGUAGGAAAUAAUGGUAUACUAUACUAGUUCAUAGGAUUCAACUGAAUAUUUUUGACAACAACGUCGUAUUGUGUUUGAUACUUCCACGCAACUACAGGUUAUUAGUGGCGUCGGUCCACGAAUGUGUACGUGCACGCCGCCUUUCGUUCAAGAUAUACUAUAUGUUAAUUCUGUAUUUGUUUGUAUAUAUAUAUACGCUUAAUUAUAAGACAGCGAUAGGCAACGGAAUAUAUAUAUACACACACGAAGAAAAAUCGCUGGAGUAAAGAUAGAAGCUUGUGUAGAUAUUCUCGCUAUGGAGUAGUAGUUCCAAUCAUAUAUAUAUUGUGCCGCUGUGAGAAGUAGCCAAUCACCAAACAGGAGUGCUCAGCUCACUGAUGGCACGUCGUCUAUCCGUAGAGGCGUAGACGGGUGCAUGAGUGCAAAUGGACAUGCAUGGUUUCGAGGACUUCCCAACACACCCACAGGGCCACAGCCCACAGGUGAUGUUUGUCUCCAUGUUUCCCUCCUAUUUCCGCUGCUAUUAAUUCUCGUUGCUACGUGUUUGUUUCAGCAGCAGCGGAGCCAUUCGCACAAGGGUCGAAUCCGGAUACCGGAAACGUCGUUACCGCCCACUCCAGGCCUUAUCGGUUUAGGGCAUGUACAAUCUAGAUAGGGUCCGUCUCUAAGACCAGUCGCAAUGUAUAGUUUCAUGGUAGUUACCAAGACUAUAAACUAGGUAACCGAGUCAUAUGAGUUUUAUGAGGAUGAAAACUCCUCUCUCAUCUGAUGAGACUGCUUCAUUUAAUGACCCUGUCAAGUCAGCAAUUUUGCUUAUGUGGCACCUUAUUUAAUGUGCAUGAUACUCUCAUGAAACAUGCAUUGAGAUUGACCUAAGUAUCUCGAAUCUAUGAUACAGACAGAUAUAAAGACAGAUUAUACAAUCCAUACUUGGGGGUUCUAAGGCAUUUAAUAAUUUGCAUGUAGCUAAGAUCAACUAUGGAUAUCAACUUGUAUACCACUGUGUGGCCGUUUGAUAGAAGACAAGUUCAAGUAUAAAUAAGAUGAACAUAAUUAUAAUAUUUUAAAACCACUAAUAUAAUAUAUAUUAUAUAUAAAGAUGAACAUAAUUACAUAAGCACACUCAAAGAGGUCAGUCCACCUAAUAAUCUUGUGCCAUGGAUCCUUGCAUUGCUUUAGAUUCCUUUUCCUACGGGGUGGAGCUGUCUUGUUGUAUGAUUGAACAACAUCAGACCAAUAUUGGUUGCCACCUAUAUUAGCUCCACAGGUCGAAACUGUUGAAUGUUCUAUCCAAGAGCUCAUGCAUCAAGCUGACAUCCUCAUUCUUUUUCCAAGGAAUUUGCUUCUCAGUCCUAGCAUUUUCAUCAUCAGUGUCAACUAGUUCAGGCUACUGCUUGUCCACUCUCUCUACUUCUACUGGUAAAAUUUCUUCAUGGUUGUGAACAGGUGCACCAACCUAAAAAUUGUGUGGCUGGUUUCCAAAGUAACUCAUAAACCCACCAGGUGGGCAUGGGUCGUCUUUAUCCCUGCAGGAAACAUAACAUCACUAAAAUGACUCUAUACAACAUUACUUUAAUUUGCACUAUCUGCUUCUCAUUCACACUAACAAAUAUCAAAUAGUUUAUAAGAAACAGAGCAUUAGUUUCAUUCUCAAACAUUUGCAACAAACAUCAUAGACCUUCAAAAGGAUCUAUGACACUACAUGCAGGGAAUAAAAUAUGUCAUUUGUCAACCAUGAUGAUCUGACCAGGAUGAACACACAUGCAGCCCAUAGCCACCCUCCUGCUAUUCUUCCCCAAAUAAGAUGAAACAAAUUGCAAUAUAUACAACUUAGCACAUUCAGCAGCUACCAAAGCUCUGUUCACAUUCAGAUACAGCUAGCAAGUUCACGCAGGUUCACAUUCAGAUAAUAACUAGCAAAGCUCUAUUCACUAACAGAUAAGAUAGAAUUUCACUAACAGAUAGGAGCAAGUCCAGAUCAAUUCACAGGUCAGGUGAUUAACAAGAUGGAUCCCAAGCUGCUGAGCGCACAAACGAAGGAGAAGCUGGAUCAACGUUGGUCGAAUUCCACCAAGCAGUAGAUGGUGAAGUGGGGAAUGGAAACCCACCGAAGACGAUGGAACCGUCGCAGCACUGGGGAAGGCACCUCCACUAGAUGUACCAAUGGAGAUAGGAGGUGUUGCCAUGCUGUUGCUGAGGGAACAGGAGAUGGGGGUACCCCGGUGCCACCACCGCUGAUCCACUUCCGCGACCUAGGGUUCAGCCCAGGGCAUCCGCGCCCAACGAUGAGCCUCCACCACGACUGAGGUUGUAGUUCGACGCCGUCGAGAUGGCUCCGCGACCGAAGGUGUGCACCGGGAACACCGCUAUCGCUGUCGCCGCAGUUGACGCAACAAUGGGGGUGUCCUUGCUCUUCUUGUUUGUGGAAGCUAGUUUGCACUUCCUCGCUGAGGUGCUAAACAUCGCAGCCACCAAAGGUUGGGGUGCCCGAUUGAGAAAGAAAGCUAGAGUGUUGUGGCUGCUUCACCGGUGAAAUAGGGAUGAGGCAGAGACGGAUUUGGCGGGACUGCUCCCUCCCAUGCGCGCCAAAACUUCAUUAGCAUGCACGCGAGUGCCCCAGAUCCGCGCGCCGUCGAGACAAGGGGACGACUCCUACAAUGCUGCUCGGCUGGUCUCCUUUGCAUCGGUGCAUGGGACGGCUCCGUCGCUUCACGAGACGACGGAAUAGUCGUCUUCAGGCCACAACGGCACAACAGAUUUUUUUUGUAAAAGUACCCACGAAAGGACGGGGUGAAGAGUUUUUAUAAAAGUACCCACGAAAGGACGGGGUGAAGAGCCCCGUUGUACAUACCCUUAUUACGCAACUCACGUGAGAAUGGAUAAAGGAUAUCUUAGGUUGGAUCCUAUGAACUAAUAAGUAUAAUUGAAAGUUUAGUCUUUAAAGAUCUAAACAAAUGAACUAGUUAGUGAGCUAACAACUAGCGAAAGCCUCAACUAAUUGUUACUUCACUAGCAUAUAGAGCCCAACUAGUUGGGCUAAUCACUAAUUCUAGUUCAUCCAAACAGCUCCUUAACCAACCAAACAAAUUGUCGUUUUUCAUUUCAGGCAACAGGUAGGGGCGGCACCCAUUUUCAUUUGCAGUACAGCCCCGAACUAAACAGAGAAAGAGAGACACACAUUUGGCGGCCAAAAAAUCUGGGUUUUGAUCUAUCAUUUUGCAUAAUAAAACUAAACAUCAUGCAAAAAUUUUUAGCAAAAAAAAUUAUUCUUCAUUUUGGAUUUUGGUCUCAGGAGGCCAAAAGCCCAAAAGAGUUACAAGAGACCAUAAUAAGAGCAAUAAAUUCUGUAUUCUAGACAAAACUAAAUAUAACCUUAAAAAUGUUAGUAUUUAGUAUUUUAUCAUUUCAAGGUAGUCGGCAUUUUGCAUUUUGCAUUUUAUGGGAAAUUAAACACCCCCUAGCACAACCAAAUCGUCAACUCCCAACACUGCAGGCUUGAUGGAGCAUCAUUACCACGCUUCGGUUGAAGCUAAGAGCUGCAAAGCAUUUGCCAGUGCCAUUACCACCACCAUUUCAUGUUGCAUGGCUUGACCGGUCGUAAGAGUCCCAUGCACGUCGCAACUCGCACAGGCAUUGCUCUUGCUCGCGGUGCCAUGAUUGCGCCUUUCACAAACUCAUAGUUGAUCAAUUGGAGCACUUGCGAUUAUUGAAUCAUUAUUGUACUACCAUUUAGUAUGAGAUUUGAAAUUUACUUAAUUUAAUUGGAUAAAUAACAGGCCAUAUCUAAUUAAUUAAGUCCAAGAGCUAACAAUUCCAGGCUGUAAUUAAUUGUGCGAGAUGAUGUGUUCCUAGUCCACGAUGACCUUGAGAAGGACAUUGAGGAAGACGAAGGCUGCAAACGAGAUCCUAGUUUCCAUAUCUGCCAGGGAUGGGAUUUCGGUGAGCUAGCUUAAAUAUAGAGUAUUAUGGCAUCUAGAAAUUAACAAUAAUACAGCAAUGCUUUACAGCACUCAAGUGUUUUACAGCAAUUCAACACUCAAUUCCUUUCUGUUCUCUUCCUCUCCCUCUCUUCUUCUCUAACUCUGGCAAGCUUAGAUGAGACUGUGGGAGGCAGGUCGGCCAAAUGGUGGAAACGGCAGGAGGACGACGGUUAGAGUUCCAGCGGUGUAGGAGGCGGUCGAACUAGGUCAGGGCGAGGGCAUCUAUGGCCAUACGACGGUGAGGGGAGGAGAAGAAGAAGGUUGUUGUGGGCGUAAUAGGGUCUCAUCGGAGCUCAAGACCCUACUGCACUGAGGCGGGGCAGUGGACGACGGUAGGGCAUCGGGAGGAGGAAGAGGACGAUGAAGAAAAAAUCAAGUGUUCUCGAGAGCCAAAACACUCAAGCGACAGAUGAUAGAUCCUAAUAUAGAAAUGCAACAAUGUAUCCAAAGUAUGGAGGCACUGCUGUGUUUGUUAUUCCCAUCCUAGAGGUAAUCUUUGGUGUCCACAGGGAGAUAUUUAUUUUGUUCGUGCCUCUCGAGCCUCACCAUAUCAAUUCUAAUUAUGUUUCCGUCUAAUGCUCCGUAUAUAUAAUACGCUAAUAAGAUAGUGAAAUAGACGAAACUGAUCGACACAUUAGGUUUUUUUUACAACAAAUAUUUUUCAUUUGAGCAGCAGGACGCUGCAAUCAGUCUAACAGACUGAAGGUUUACAUCUAUCAGAUGCAUCAGGAAUGGGCACUGAUAGGUAAGGCUCUGAUGAGAGCAUACAUGAUGGAAGAAAGAUUCAACAGGAACAAUAACUGAGAAAGCCUGUCUAUCUAAAGCAUAUGUUGUAUUAUUUAUGUUCCUAUUGAUUUUGAAGAUCAUGGCAUGACAUUGAUCACCUGUGUUCCUGAACAUCUGGGUGAAAAAGGUUUUAUCCUCCAGUCUACAGGAUGUUCUUGGUCAUCUUCAUGUAGGAAUUGUACUAGCUGCUGGUUAUUAGUGAGAAAGGUGGUGUCAGUGAAGUUGAGUCGUUCACUAACAACUGCUGCUAGAGCAAGUGCUACAACUUCCGCCAUGAGGACUGAGUGGACUUCCAAGGCUUGUGCUGUGAUGUAGAUGGUUUGUGUGGUUGUACCUAUGGAUUGACAAAAAAUCCCAAGUCCUAUAGCUAUAUACUGCCUGGUUGGUUGGUCAUACCUUAAGGAGGCAUCAAUGAAGCAUCUGACUCCUUGGAUGAGCUCCAAUAUAGAGAUGAAGUAUUUGUCUGUCUAAGGUGAAGCUCUUGCAUUAGAUGUGAUAAUACCUGGUGAAGUCGGGGUGGCUUGAUUUGUGAGCAUCAUUUUCUAGGGGGUUUGUGCUUGUUGUUCCUCCAUAGGGUGUGAGGUGCAGGUUCCUCCUGUUGGUGCUGCAUGUGAUCAGGUGCAGGCGUCUCCAUCUGUUGAGGUGUGUGGCUGUGAUCCUACGAAGUAAUAGCAAUGGCAGUUUGCGUACCUUGUGCAGUCAUUUGUGGGGGUUGAGGUGGGAUAAGUAGAGUGUCGGUUUGGUGGCUGCUAAUGUGGGCUACGACCACAUGGUGUACCUGCCAUGGAGUCCAAGUUUUUCUGUGAAAUCAAAUAUCAUUCCUAGCUUUCCACAAAUACCAGAAAGUGAUUAGUAAUUUGUUGAAUACAGUAGAUGGGAUGGCGGCGGGGAUGAAGCUUGGUAGGAUUAGUUGCACGCCAUUAGUAUCUUGAGGUAAAUUGUCAGUGCAAAGAAGGGGAUUUGAUGAGAAUACUGUUGUGGGAGGUGAUAGUGGAAGAAUAGGUGGGCAUCAUCCUCCACCACGCCAUAGGAACAUAGUGCUUGUCUAUGUGGGGGAGUAUCUCGCUGCUUGUUUUGUUGUAGCUAGGGCUCUUUUGAUGAGUCUCCAAGUGAAGGAUUUAACUAGAGAUGGUGGCUCCUUACUAUUCCAUUCUCUCUGCAUAAUGGAGUUAGCAUGGGGUCCACCUCAAGAUGUCAUGACCAUCACUAUGAAUAGUUGGUGUUACAGUUAUGACCUGUACAUCCUAAGCAUCAAAGAUGUUAGUGAUGAGGUGAACAUUCGUGUUAUGGGAAUUUGGUUGCUAAAGAUUAGAGAAAUGGUUGGCAUUGGAGAUUGAGUAGCUAGCAGGAUCAUGUGGUCAUGGAUAGAGUUCCGAAUGGGCACCAAGGGGUGGACCAUAUAGAACUGUUACUUGAAUGGAUCUAGUAGACAGAGUUGGAGCGAAGUUUAGUUUUGACCUACAAAAUAGAAGACCAGAAGAUUGAUCUAGGACCAGUGGUGUUGGCUUUCCAAAAGGAGGUGUUGUGGAACUAUUUAGCCUUAAGGACAGAGGUGAGCAUGGGGUUUUUAUUAGUAGCAAUGUUUGCCAAGACCCCCAUUCUUCUUGGGCUAGCAAAUGUCUUCCCAAGACAUGAACGCAAUGGGAGAUGUAGGGUUGUCUUUCUAGACUCUAGUGCACCAAAAUUUCCUGAUUAUAGUGUUGAUUUUACCUAUCAUAGUAUUAGAAAAUAGCACAGUACACAUGUAGUAUACAGGGACCAAAGCUAGGACAGAUUUGAUGUAAGUCAGUCUCCCUGCAUGAUUAAGCUUGUUAGCUUUCACAGUAGUUAACUUAGCUCUAAAUUUUUUAAGAAUAAACUCAUAAACCUUAUUCCGAUCAUUACGAUUAAAAUAAUCAGGUGGCCCAAGGUGCAUGCUAUUAGGAAGGAGGUCAGGGGUAGGAAAGAUGUUCCUGAUAUCAUUUCUAGUGGUCAAAGGCACCUUUUUACUAAAAAGGAUUGAGGACUUCUAAAGAUUGGGAGUUUGCCUAGAGAGGUGGCAAAAGUCUUGUAAAAUGUCCCAGAUUUUGGUGGCUUCAAUGAUGGAGGCCUCGCCACAUAAGAUUAGAUCAUCAACAAAGAGAAGAGAGUGAAUGGGAGGGCAACUAGGACCAAGGGAAAUGCCCAAAAAAUUGGAGUAAUGAGUUCAGUUUGAAGGUGAAUGGAUAGCUCAUUGGUGGCCACAACAAAAAGACAAUGAGAGAGGGGGCAGCCCGGGCGAAUACCAUGAUGGGGAGUGAAGGAGGUGGAAGGCUCUCCAUUGAUAAGGAUGGAGAAAGUAGUAGUGGAAAUACAAGCUUGAAUGAGGUUGGUGAAAUUGGAGGGCAGCCCAAGACGAUUUAGAGAGUCCCAAUUCAGACAAUCAAACGUUUGGCCAGGUCAAGCUUGAGAUAAAAAAGCUUGCUGGUUCCAGUUUUUUAGGUUGGAAGAGAUGUGCCUGUGUUUUGAUGAAUGCAACUUAAGAUUAUUGAGUCAAUCGACAGCAACUUUGGCGUUUAGUAGAACACAGCAUGGUGCCAAGAUGAUACUACGAUGUCAGCAAAAACUUGUGGGAUCCACCAUUUAGUAAACGAUUAAAGAAAUUUUGAUUUCUUUUUUGUCGUUUCUGCACACCUCCAUGCCUACCAUACGUGUACUGUGUUGUUUUCAGUGGCGGAGGCAGCUGGCAAGGUUCGGCCUCCGCCGUACCUAAAAUGUAUAGAAAACACUAGUAUAUUAUGUGUAUAUACGGUUAUACACGUGAAAUAUACAUGGCUUAGCCUCUGCCACUGUGCACGAAUAGAUUUUGUUUGUGGGCUGGUAUCUCGUGGGCUUACACGACUACGAGCCCGUUCGCUUCUUAGCUGUACUUUUUUUCAGUGAUUUUUUUUUGACCAGCGAAUAGGCUCUAUGUCAAAAGCCCACGACACUAUCCAUAGAAGGAAGCAGCUCAUUGGUCUUCCUGCCUUCCUGGCUGGUCGACUACUCCAGGUUUUAGUGGCCGACUUGUUUAGUUUCAAUUUUUUUUAGCAAAAUAGAUACUGUAGCACUUUUGUUUGUAUUUAACAAAUAUUAUUCAAUUAUAGACUAACUAGGCUCAAGAGAUCUGUCUCGCAAAUUAUAGACAAACUGUAUAAUUAGUUAUUUAUUUUAUUUAUAUUUAGUGUUUCAUGCAUGCAGUGGCGGAGGCAGGAUUUUUGCUUGGGAUAUGCCAAACAAAAAGUUUUCAUAUACAAAUCGGUAAAAUCUAUUUAGCAAUUCGGUAGAAUUUUAUAAAAAAAAUGUCUAACAAUUCGGUACACAACUGUUAAGGCCUUGUUUAGUUCCAAAAUGGACAUUGUAGUAUUUUCGUUUGUAUUUAAUAAAUAUUAUCCAAUCAUAGACUAACUAGGCUCAAAAGAUUUGUUUCGCAAAUUACAUGCAAAUUGUGCAAUUAUUUUUUAUUUAUAUUUAAUACUUCAUAUAUGUGCCGCAAGAUUCGAUGUGACAAAGAAACUUUCAAAAUUUUGCUAAUUUUUUGGGACGUAAACAAGGCCUAAAUGGCAUAAGUCGUGCGUCCAUGGUGUGUUUGAAAGGAGCGUCCGAGAGCAGGUGCGAGACGAAUACCGAGGUCUUGUUUAGUUCUUCUAUGGUCUCCAAUGGGAGGGUUAGCUGAUCCACAUUAGUUAACCACUACUCCACAUUGGGCAAAGUGAUUUUGUUAACGCACGUAGCCACGGUAAAUCAUAAUUAAAGAGCCAUCGUGAUCAACUUUCAUUAUGUGAGCUUGAACAAAAUGAUCAACAUCAAGAGUUGGCCUACAAAUAAUUGUAGAGCUUUGCUAAAUUUCCACACCCUUUCUCCCACUCCAAAAAGCCAAAGUGCUCAAUCCUUAAGCAAAUCAUUCCACCAGGAGAACAAAAGCAAUGUUGUGGUGAUCAACAUCAAGGUAUAUCUGUAGAGCUUUGCUUUUACCGGUUAACGUGCAAUAUGAGUGCACAAUUAUGUUUAGGAUAGAUUUAUUAAGCUAAUAUUGUUAUCUAGUGCCACUAGGUGGGGACUAACAAUACACAUGUGUUAGACUCAGUGACAUGGUGAGGAAGCAAGUGAAAACCUUUGAAAAUGCAAACUCAGUGCUAAAGGUGUUAUUGUUCCGUCUGCCACAUUUGGGAGAUAUCAUAUUUGAAAAAGGGUUUAAGAGAGGGGCUUGGUGAGAUGGUUUGAAUAGUCACUAGAUAAGUCCGGUGGUCAUCAGAGCUUAGGCACACCCACUUUACUAGUCUAGUCAUCAGGCUGUCUCACUCUGUAGUGGGCCACCAAAAAUAUCCAUGCCUCUAGGUCCGAGCACUAAAGUUUAGGCUCCUUCACUUUGGGAGAGAAGGGGACGCUGGACACGAGGCAACAAUCGGCAAUGGCUGCAAAGCACACAAAGUUUAGAAGGAUAAAGGAAGACGACUAGAGGAGGUUAAAUAGUCAUUUCUAUAACUAAAUCAUGAAUCCUAGGCAAAUAAAUAACAUUAAUAAACUAUUUGUCACUUCCCACUAUAACAGCAGAAAUAAAACAACAGAGAUAAUCUAUUUUCAUAACAAUACAAUAAAAGGUACAUGACUCAUUAUUUCCAUGAUGAUUCCAUCCCUACCUGCGAGCGUGGAAAGCCUAAAAAGCCUCUCUCCACGGCCUUCCUAAAAAAAGCCCACCUGGCCACCUGUAGUUCAAUAUAAGCUACUGGAGAAGCUAGGCGUUUGGUCCAUCUCGAACCGCUUUUAAAGCUAAACAGCCCAAUAACCCAUUUCAAACAAGGUCGAAGCCCAAUGAGGCAGGUGGCCCAAAACCUGACCCGAUUCUCUCCCAAUUCUUUUUCCUCGUGUUGGAAUCGGAAUUGGAAUUGGAAUUUGUACGUAGUGGCGGCGAUAUCUGGUUCAGAGUGGGUGUUGAUUCGUGGAGAGCAGCUGGUCGGGCCCAUCCGCGCAGUUGGCUUGGCUUGGCCGCUGCCGCCCGUGCUCGCACCGGCCGCCCCACCUCCAUCUUCCCAUGGUGGUGGUAUCAUCCCCCCCCUUUCCUCUUCCUCCUCCCCACGUGCAACCACCUAACCCCUCUCCCACCGCCCUCCUCGCCUAGCCCGCCGCCACAGCGGCCGUCGACGAGCGCCAUGCCCGCCGCGGCGUCCACCUCCGCGACCUCGCUGCUGCUGGGCGGCGGCAGGCUCCCGCGGCUCCAGCUCCAGUCCCUCCGCGCCCCCGCCAAGCCCCCCUUCCGCCGCCCGGCCUCGUCCCCGUCCACACCGCUCCCCAGAUGCCGCGCCAGCGCGAGCCCCCGCCCUCUGGGCCCCGUCUCCGCCUCCGCCCUCGCGCUGCCCGUGUCGGUGACGGCCGCUCCCCCACCGCAGGUGGAGGAUGGUGGCUGGGUGGGAGGCGCGGCCGCGGCCGCGGCCGUGAGGAGAGUAGCUGUGGCGGUGGCGUGCGGGGCGCUCGCGGCGGCGUGGUGCCGCCGGGCGAUGGCUGUGGGGGCGGCCACGGCGGCGGGAGCGGGAGCGGGGGCCGGGGCCGGGGCGACGGGGGCGGUGGAAGCUGCCGCGGGGAUUGGAGGGAUGGCGCUGCACGGGGGCUGGCCGAGAGUGCUGCAGAUUCUGCAGCUGCUCAGGGAGCAGGGCCUGGUUCUGGCCGCGCUGCUCGGCCUCUCUGCGUUCUUCUCCAUGGCAGAAACUUCUAUCACGACGCUUUGGCCUUGGAAGGUGCGUUCAGCAAGUCUACGGAGACCCAUUUUCUUAAACUCCUGUUGUUGCCAUAGUAAUUACUGUACGUACGCGAAAUGAACUAUGCUUCCAGUUUUGCAAUCGGUUUGGUUCACUGAGCUACGAGGUAGGAUAUUGGGAGAUUUUUGGAUACUUAGAUGAGCAGAUUGGUAUUGGUGUAGUGUUGCUGCUAAGAGGGGAUGCUGAGAUGGGGUGAGUGUCUUAUGGGUACGUCCUUGUAUCAACUACUAUACUCAUUCUAAAUGGGUUUAUGCAAUGAGUAUUUGUAUGAACAAAGCAAACGGAUACGCACUAGCUUAGGCUGUUGGGUUGGGCUGUGGCAUGUGUGGGUCGAGGAUGUGGCGGUUGUCAUGCACAUCCUGCUUCAGCAGUGAUGUGAUAAUUUUGUCUCGCUUGCUGAUGACAUAAUCCACAGCACAAGUUUGUAUUUGAGAAGUGAUGUCACUGCUGGGAGUGUUGCUGAAAGACAUGGGGAAAGCAUUAUUGCUCCUUCCUUUUUUUUGUAGGAUAGAGGGCUGAGCAGCAGGCAUAACUGAUUGACAAGCUGACAACAGCAAGGUGCUUCAGAUAUAAUGACAGUGUGCACAUGCGCUUUAGUGACAUGUUGUGCUAGUGAUCUGUAGGAGAAUUAGGCAGGGAAUCUAUGCAAGGAAAGUUUUUAUUAUUUUGAAACUGGAACUAAUGACACUGGUAUUGGAUUACCGGUCUUACUGACUUUAUAUAUAAUCUCCCUUCACACCUAAUCUCAUCAACUGGAUAGGUAUUUCUGGUUCAGAAUAUUUAUAGCUUUGAACAGAACAUUGGUGCUCUUGUAACUAUCAUUAAAGGGGUCCUGCCUCUUUGUUCAUGUUUAUCAACAUUUAAAUUCAAUUCUAAUUCUUCAAAGACUACAACAAGGUGAUCAAUGUAAAUUGAUGGCUGGAUUCGGUUAAUCACAUGUUGAACUUGCAUUUUAUUUUUAGUAGAGGUUUAUUUGCAAGCACAGGAAUAAUGAAGCCCUAGGUUUAGUGCAUUUUUUCCCUCCAGAGUUGAGCCUAAGGAUUCAAGUUCACUGACACUUAUCAUUGUGGGUUCAAGCAUUUGCACACAUAUUAGCAUAUUGAAAUGGCUAAAGUAUUAGAGGUUGGUGCUAGAGUCUUUCCAUAACAGCGCACUUGGGACUGAAGUUUGAUUCAUGCAAAAUUUUUCAAUUGAAUCAUGCUUGAUGUUCAAAAACUAGCAAGAAUCAUAGAAAUAGCAACACUGUAUUGUGUAAUAGGUUGCAUACCUUUUCCCCCUUUGCAUUUGUUUAUUUUUCUAACGUUGUUUGGAAAUUGCCACAUCAAGGCCUAAUUUUCUAGUGAUCUGCCUAGCGCCCAAUAGCUAGCUAGCCUCUCUACUCAAGCAUUGAGGCAUCACCCCCUUCUACCCACCUAGGGCAUUUUCAGAUCAGUGUUUUGAAACUUUGCUUCGUAGUGGUACUCUUUUCUUAUUGUAACUGACUGUAUGCUGAGAGCGAAUAUCUAUAUGCUGAGACUUUGCUGAUUUCUUUUUUCCUUUGCAUUAGGUUCGUGAACUAGCUGAGAAGGAACCUGAGAAUGGUGUUUUCAAAAUGCUCCGAAAUGACGUCACUCGUUUCCUGACAACUAUUCUCAUUGGCACAACGUAAUCCAUGGCAUUUCUAAGUUGUGCAUCACUCAUUGCAAUUUUGUUUUACUAACCCUAAACCCUAAUCUCGGGCAUAAUUUGUAUGAAAUAGUGUGGUCAACAUUGGCGCAACAGCAAUUGUUACUGAGGCAGCAACAGCAAUGUUUGGUGAAGCAGGUGUUAGUGCAGCAACAGGUGUCAUGACAGUAUGUCUCCUGUCUCAUACUGGCCUUCUGCUCUUGUGUAAGUGUUCUUUAAUCUAACUAUGGAGCACCAUUUUUUAGGUUGCCAUCUUACUUCUUACAGAGAUCACUCCCAAAAGUGUUGCAGUCCAUAAUGCCACCGAGGUCGCUAGGUUUGUGGUAAGGUGAGAGAUAUCAAGUAUAACUUAGUUUCAAACAUGUUUAUUUUGAGUACUGAACAUUGUGCAUUUGUUGCGAUAUAUCAGACCGGUCGCAUGGCUUUCGCUGAUCCUCUAUCCAGUUGGGCGGAUUGCUACUUUUCUGUCUAUGGGAAUGCUAAAGAUUCUAGGCCUGAAAGGGAGAAGGUAAGACUGUAAGAGUAUGUAUAAUACUCUAGUUCUUGAUCAACUAGAAGAUAAAUUCUUUGAAAAUAUGCCAACUCAAUAAGCUCAUGUUAGUCAUAGAUUAUAUCCCCCAUUAGUUAUGAUAUGCUUUCAAGAAGGAUACACAAACAAUAAAUUAAUUCAUGCCACAAGAACCACACAGAACUCUUUUUUAAGAGCAUAUGGCUUGCUCUGCGUAGUGGAUAUAACCAGGGAAGCACAAGGAUUGAGUUUCUAGGUGUGUGUGGGUUCUGCUCAGGUGGGCAACUCUAGCUUCAUCCAUCUGUAUCUUUUUCUUGAUGAAAUGGCAUGCAGCUCUUUUGCGUCAUUCGAGAAAAAAUAACCAGGGAAGCACACUGAUUGAGUUCCUGGUUCCUGCCAAAUAAAAUCUCACCUGUUUUCUUUUAAAAAUGGAUUAAACUUGUAUAUUACUAGAAUUCAAGUACAAAUGAGAUGGUACAACAUGGACUAGAUUAGACUAGUUUGAGUAUGUGUUGAGUCUAGUUUAUAGGGUGAUAGUUGUACUUUCUAAAAUUUCUAUAAUUAGUAAAUAGUGCAGUGACUAUAUUUUUAAUCAAUAGAUGACCGUUGACACUAUUCCAAGAAUUGCAUAUCAUCUGUUAUUGUUCAUGAAGGAUCUAAUUCUAGUUUGAAUUUGCUAGAAACUUAUUGAUUGCUUUCUGUAUAAUUUAGUUUACAAAUUGAAUUUAGUAUCUGAUAUUGUAAUACAAUACACAUUUGUAUGUUAUUUUUUGCAUUUUUUUUACAAAAUCCAGUACUCAAGUACAUUGAUUUGCUAUGUCUUUUAGUUACUACAUUUGUAUAUGUUUAACCAAUAUACAAUUGAGAUUCCUAUAUAGAUAAGAUUUAGUUUUUCUUUUUCAUAACUCUUGACAUUUCUGGAGAUCUACUUCUGAAUCUUGUGCAUCAUAUACACUUCUUUCCUCAGUGAACCAUAUGUUACUGAAGAUGAACUGAAGUUAAUGUUACGAGGAGCAGAGUUGAGUGGUGCAAUUGCAGAAGAUGAACAGGUUAGACAAUCUAGUAUAUGGAGAUGCCCAUAUAUUGUGCUGCAUAUUUCCUUCUUUAUUCUUUAUGUUUCUGUGUACCUCACAGCAAGAUUUUGUUAUCCAGUGCAAUCUAGGCAAAGCCUUUACUUACAAUUUUUAUAUCAUAUAGAAAGCUGACUACUUACAUAAAUAAAGAGUGAAUUAAUGAAAUUUCAGGAAAAUAGUAACUAACGUUUUUGCAUGAUUUUAACUGCUAAUUUAAUGUUUGUACACCAUCUCAUCACAUAUAUCCAGAAUUUGAAAAGCAGUAUGGCCCCAAAGGUUUGAGUUAGAUUAUACUGUUGCAGACUAGGAUUUUGCCUCUUGAUAGUUUACUAGCACACUUUGGCUACUUCUUUGUUUUCUUGAAAACGCAGGAGAGCUGCACUUCAUUAUAUUAAGAGGAUAAAGGGCAAGAGCCCGAACAACCCCACAAACACCAUACACACACCACACACAUCACACACUCACGCCCCAACAGAAAUGUUACAUUCGCGCCCGUAAGAAAACACACAACGCGACCACUACUAGGCUAAACAUUUCUAACUAUCGGGGAGGAGGGCAGUCAAGAAUGAUAGCUCUCGAGCUGCUGCCAUAGACCAUAAACGGCGCUCCUCGCCUGCUAUGAUCAGAGCGCCAGCAAGGUUUGGAGCUGCUCCAUCAAAGACACACCCAUUGCGAUGGUUCCAUAUAGUCCAAGCUCCGAGCAUAACAAGAGAAUUAAUUCCUUGCCUUGUCAGCCCAUCAGCAGUGCUGCUAGCCUUCUCCCACCAAGCAUGGAAGGAUAAUUCUGUAAGCUGAGGGGACAAAAGCCUGAUUGAACCAAAAUUCUCUUGUGAACACACAAUGGACAAGUAGAUGGUCGAUAGUCUCCUUUUCAUGGUCACAAAGGAGGCAAUUCUCCGGAUGAGGUAACCCUCGGCGUGCUAGACGAUCAGCUGUCCAGCACUUAUUGUGCGACCAGCCACAUAAAGAAACGGCAUUUGGGCAGCACCCAUGAUUUCCAAAUCUUUUCCCAUGGUCCAAAAAGAGUAGAUCCGAAAAAGAAGCCUUCAUAUGCCGAUUUAGCCAAGUAUUGUCCAUUAGAGGAGAGCCUCCAUAGGUGCUGCAGCUGAAAAUCCAGAAGUAGAUCCCACCAUAAGUGAAAGUAGUCAACAAACCCACCAACUGUGAGCGCUCCUUGUAUGUCCAAAAUCCAAGCCCGGUUAGUAAGGGCAUCCUGGACAGUAUGCUGCUUAACCCUCCUUUUAGGAGUAGCCACAAAAAGUCGAGGGGCAAGAUCUGCAAUGCAUUGCCCAUUGAUCCGAUCUGUCCAGAAAAGAGUGUUUGCACCAUCCAAUUUCAGAAGUUACUGCCACUGAGUAGAAGGCUCUUACUUGCUUCGGCACAUGGAAUGGUAGAGCAGCCCAAGGACAAUGAGGUUCUGUUUUCUGCAGCCAAACCCAUCUCGUGCGCAAGGACCAGCCAAGGGUUUUUAAAUCUGAAAUUCCCAGGCCUCCAAGCUCUGGUGGGCCACAGACUUUGACCCAAGCCACAAGACAAUGACCACCUUUUUGCAUAUUUUCGACCCCUCCAAAGAAAGCCACGCCAAAUUUUAUUUACCACUUUGAUAGCCAUGGAGGAAAGUCGAAAGCAAUAGCUAAGUAAAUGAGCAUUCUCAGUGAGAACUGAUUGUACUUGAACCCUUCUUCCAGCCCUUGUCAUUAGGUCUGCCUUCCAGCCAGGAAGUUGAUCUGCAGUACGAUCAAUAAUAGGCUGCACUUGUUUCUUUAGGGAGAGGGGCAGACCUAAGUAUUUGCAUGGGAAAUCCGAGAGGGGCACACCUAGCUAGUUUCUUUGGCUACUGUUAUCCUUUAGGUAUUUUGCAGAACCUUUCCAUAGCAAUCCCAUUAAUCUUUAGGAAGCGAUCCCAUUUGUUAAAGCCCCUGCAGGCAACUUUCAAGUUCAUUAUUCUCGAUCACAGGUAGUCAUUCUGCAUAUUUUUCCCUCAGAAUCAUCAUAAGAAUUGGGUUAAGUGGAUAGGUCAGACUAUAGCAUGGAAAUACAUAAGUACUGAUAGGUUGUUGAAACUAUCUAAGACUACAGAUUUAUCGUGUCAAUUUGUCACAAAUAACAGAUUUUAGCUGAUGAAAUCAGUACUUCUGCAGUACAUAGAAAUACUAAAUGUGUAGUUUUAGUUUUGCAAAAACAAGGACACUAAAUUUAUAAUUCUGUGAUAAAACUUCUUAAAUCUGUAGUUUUGUGAUAGCAUAGCCCACUCACACAUAUACAAAAAAAAAGAAAAAGAAAAAAAGGAACCAUAUAGUUAUUUAUGUGCUUAGAUUCUAGGCCCUAGAACUAGAACCUAUAGCUGUGUUACACUAUUAUGAAUUCCUAGUCCGUGCCUGCUUGUGCAGGACACUUUUCUACUUGAUCAGCUAAAGUCAGCACCUGAGUCUUUUAACAGGAUAUGAUCGAGAAUGUCCUGGAAAUUAAAGAUACACAGGUGAGGGAAGUAAUGACGCCUUUGGUGGACGUAGUUGCAAUUGAUGCUAUUGCAACACUUAUUGAUUUCAAAAACUUGUGGGAAACUCAUCAGUACUCUAGGUAUUGUCAACUAUUAUUGUCGCGUGUAUUUUCAAGUCUUAUCACUGACAUCUGCUGCUAUUUGUUAUUUCCAGAGUUCCUGUAUUUGAGGAGCGCAUAGAUAAUAUUGUUGGAAUUGCAUAUGCAAUGGACAUGCUUGAAUAUGUUGAAGAGGUAUGUCUCUUGUUUACCAUUUAAUGUAAAACUUAAUCACAGUGAGUCUUAUUUGCUCCACAUGAUGCUUCUCUAAAGGGAAAGUAAAAGGUGUAUUUUUCUUUUGAAGGUUGAGAAGCUGAAUGAAAUCACUGUUAAGAAAAUCGCACAUAUGCCUACAUACUUUGUUCCAGGUAAUUUUUAGUAACAUUGUUGGAUACAAGUAUCAUGAUGAACUAAAAGAAGGCAUCUGUCAGUAGUUAUAGGGUUGGAUGUUUUUCCACAACAAUUAAUCAUUUCUGCCACAUGUUUUCUCCCAUCUAUGCAUCAUGGAUGUAACAUAUGAUACUGUUUCAUCUGGCAGAUUCAAUGUCUGUUUGGAACCUAUUAAGAGAGUUCCGGAUCAGGCAGGUUCAUAUGGCAGUGGUCCUUAAUGAAUAUGGUGGAACUAUUGGUGUAUGUCCCUAUGAAACCCAUUUUUUAUACUUUACAAACUGGACACAGUUUAGUACUUGUUAAUAUUCUUGUUAUGCUUUCAUCCAAGGCUAGUUGCUCAAUUGAGACCAUUUUGACUUAUGGCACACAACGAGGUUCAACAUUGUUUACUCCAAUCAAUUUUUAGUUGUAACUUCCAAGCAUGCUAGUUAGUUUGCUAAUAAUUGAUGAAUGCUAGUCAGUACAUGGUGACAUUUUGAUGGCCAUUUAUUGGCAACACUACUGGCUUUUGUUCCACAAUGGUCGUGUUUUUAGCACAAGCAUGUGGUGCGAUGCUUCAAGUGAUCUUGCUGCACAGCUUAUGUAACUGCAGCAAUGGGGCACUUUUCAUCUGUUGCAGUAGCAGUCCCUGUUGUUCAUGGUUUGUUUCCUUUUAAGAUAUACCCCACACAUAGAGAUUAGUUAUGCUCCAUGCAGCAGAGAUUAUUACUUUCCACAAGUUUAGAGAUUGUUUCUUAGGAAGUAGUUAUGCUCACAGUUUGUUCAUCAGUUUCUGUUUUCAGAAGUAGUUGAUGAGCGAUGAACAUGUUUUGAUUAUGUUUGCUGCUGAAAGGAUAAUUCUUUAAGAUGUUUUUCUCAUUACUGAUGCUCAUUGGUAAAAGUUGCAAAUGAUUGGACAAAGCUACUACCCGUGAGCUUCCUUUGUCUCACAUACCCUUCGAGCAAUUACGCUUUAAUGUAGCAAUAUCUAUCCAUUACUUGCAGCAACUAAGUCCUAUUGUAUUCAGAAAUGUUUAUUAGAACAGUUUGUAAUUUCAUAUGUUUAUCACUGCAUGGGACAUUGGGAAUUACUCUGACCUUUGGCCAAAAAAAAAUGCAGAUUGUAACACUAGAAGAUGUAGUGGAAGAAAUAGUUGGUGAAAUAUUUGACGAGAAUGAUUCCAAGGUGAUUAUUUCUGGAAUUUUUUAUUUCAAAUCGCAAGUGGGUGUUCAGUGCCAUACAUAUGCAUGCUAUUAUUUUCUAUUUCUUUUUCAAAAUUAUUUCCCCCUUUCUUUUGGUUUAUUAUUCCCUUUUUGCCUUGUAACUAUCGUUCUUAUAUUACAUAACUGACUUUUCAUAUGUUGGUAAUAAAUAAUGAUAUGCUAGCAUUUGAACUUACGAAAUUUAGUGGGCCAAACAUACUGAGCCAUGCCAAAAAAGACAGGCAAAUCAUACAGUCAUAUUUUAGCAGCAGCAGUGCAUUAGCGCGGUGGGUACUGAGCCGGAGUUUGCAUGUGCCUGAAGGUGGCUGAAUGAAUAAGGUGGAUAUUACCCUACCCGCACCCAAAUCAAAAUGUGUAUUUUAUUUCUACCCAUACCCUCCCCAAUUAAUGCGGGUGUGGAUUUGAAUAUGGGGAUUGAAUAUCCAGCGGCAGGUAUAAAGAUUAGAUCUCCUGCCUCAGUGCUUCUCCAAGAUCUGGAAGCAGCUGCUUCACUCCUAUUUUCUGUAUCCUAGUCAAAACAAAGGAUUUUUCCAUGUAGCAAGCUAGUUGCUCUUUGUCAUUUGCUUAGGCAGUCUCUCAAUUCCUUCUGCUACUCUGUUUUUCACCCUUUCAGGAGGAAAUCCAGAAGAAAACAGGCUAUAUAGUGAGGCGGGGAGAUGGAACAUUUGAUGUUGAUGCAAAUACAUCAAUAGAUCACCUCUCUGAAGAGCUUGGUAUCAAAAUACCAGAGGUAUUGUUUCUCAUUUGAUCUUAGCUUUCUCUACAGUUGCUAUGCAUUCCCUUGGACAUGUGUAUAUUUAAGGAAGGUAUGGCUCGGAAAAUAGUAGAUUGAUUAUGAGUAGUACAAAAGGGUAGGCAAGGAUGAUCUGGGAUUUAUAGAACAAUACCCAAUCAGGGAGAUCCUUGCCUAAUAGCUAAUCAACUACAUAAAACCCAUGGAGGCAGGCUUAGGUGCCAGGGCCCAUGCGGCCAGCCCAAUAGCCCUCUGGAAACUCCAUUCUAACAUAUAUGUUGGAGUGGACACUGUAUGAUGAUCAUCGAAAUGUGAGUUCCAUCAUUUAGAGAUGCCUGGUUUGCAGAACCUAUACAGAUAUAACGUUAUUAUAUCUAUUUUUUGGUGGAAACUGGACAUUUAAUAUUUAGGUCAACAAAAUAUUCACAAAUGUUCUGUUUGUAAAAUAUGCCCUUGGUAGUCAUCAUUUAUAUGGUGCUCUGUAUUUCUGUCAUGUUUCUCGUAGAUUGGCUGAUAAUCUUGAGACACUUGGACACUAUCUUUUGGCAGGGGCAUCAGUAUGAGACGGUGUCUGGUUUUGUCUGUGCAUCUUUUGGCUAUAUUCCAGAAGAAGGUGGGAAAAUGCUUGUGAUUCUUGAAAAGGAUUACAGAGAAGAAAACGGUGAAUAUCAGGAGGAAGGUUCUGAUCGCCAAGAUGAUAGAGAAAAAACUCAAGCUUACGAACUUGAGGUAAUUGUUACAACUCCUUGUGUACUCUGUUUGCUCAAGAGUUCUAGUACCAGGUCAAUUAUUAUAAUGCGAUUAUCUUGUCAUCGCUAGAAAUCUUUACUAGUAUAUAUAACUAUUAUGAAUUUUCCUUCAUUACUUGAAAGCUGAAAGACACCACAAAAGCUUCAAUUUUCUUUGUUGAUGCAAUACCAUGAAACCUUUUUUGUUAAAUAACUCUCAUUAGAACCAAUUUUCCAUACAGGGCAUUUGGUUCUUAGAUCAUUUUAUAGGAUAUUUCGUACUAUAAGUAAGAACCAACUACUAUCCACAAUUACCUCUACAUGCUUGUUUGUGCAUAUAAAAAGACAACAAUACUCAGAAGGUUGCUGUAACAUGUCCACACUCCGCUUUUGUGGUGCUAAUACUACCGAACAUUUGUAAUUGCUUUUUUUAUUUGAAGCUAAAAAAAGAAAGUAUACAAAAACUAAUAGAUAAGAAAACCAACUACUCAAUUGUCAAUUCAGAAUUCAUACUGUGGGUUAUAAGGUUAUUUCAGUGAAAUUGUUUUGGUAUUGGUACACAACCUUUAUUAGUUGGUGCAACUCCCAUUUCCGGAAGUCUUCGUACACUUUAAUUGAAUUGCUGCAGCCCUAGGAAUCCAUAGUUUCUGUUUCACAAUUCACCCAAAGUUUCAUUCUUUGUUGCAGAAUUAAAUAACCUUCUGUAGUUGUUUUCACUACCUUUAUUACCUGGCUUCUCUUGCUCACAGAUAGUGGAAGCUAAUGCAAGGAAGGUGGGCAAAGUCCUAUUUAAGCCAAUAAGCAGUGAAUGUGUUGGUGUUGACAACAAGGGUGUGAACCGCCUGGUCUCCAAGAAGAUCAUCAAACGGAAGAAGCAGGGCUAUGAUGAUUCCUCCGGUGACGAGUAUCCAGAUACAACAGAGAAUGGCUGCCCUGCUGAGGCACUCUCCUACUCGGAUGGUAACAGUGCCUUGUUGGAAGAUGCAAGCAGUUCUAGUGCCAAGAGGUGACAAUAAAGGAACUCCAAGACCAUCGUACUACUGGUAAUAAUUACAGCACACCGUCACCGGUCCUAAUACCCCUUGUUACAACAGAAGAAGAUGAGAAGAACAUAGUAGUAGGCUACCCAAAAAAAAAAACUGCGAGAGCAACACCAAGAGGUUAACAGCAGUUUAAGGCAUUGCAACAUUUUUCAGUAGCAGGAGUAGCAGUAGUAGCAGUCUAGAGGUGCAGCGAGGUGUCGACGUCGACUUCACCAGAGACAUGUUUGUAGUUGUAGGUCUUACUGGGCCACAGCUCCACCGCAAUGGGGUCGCUAUCGCCGUGGAGCUGGAAGCUUUUGCAUUCACAGACAGUGGUUGGCACGGCCGGGAAUAAGGAGGCUGCGGCGGCAACAGCGGCAGUGGUUUCCCGCAGCGGCCUGCACGGGUAGAGCAGCUCCGGGUGGAAGAACCACUUGACGGGCAUCUCCCUCGGGGAGGCGGUGGCCGCAGGGCGGGGGGCGAGCACGUGGAGAAGCCUCUCCUCCCGCUUCUCCCUGAUCCUCUCCAGCUCCCUGAACCUCUGCUGCAGCAGGGCGAUGGAGGAGAACAUCACCUGGCCUUCGCUGCUCUGCACCCCCAUGAUGACUGGGCGAGAGGGGGAGCUCUCACUCCAGCUCCGAGUUUCAGUUACGUGUUCGUGUCGUGUGUAUCUCACUCAAGCGUCUGUCUACUUCGCUCGGUGUGUGUGGGGGUUUUGCUUGCUGCUUGAAGGGGUGGUGGUCUUGGGCAUGUGCGUAUUUAUAAGCCGCAAAGUUUUGUCACGGCGCAGGGCGUCGUCUUGUGGUCGUCUUGCAAGUUGCGCCAAUUCUUUCAUCUUCAUCUUCCAUUAUGUGAUGCUAUGCCUGUUUGUGUGUUUUGUUUAUGGGCUGAUUGAAAAACAAAAGAGGCACUAUUGGUAUGAGAGAGAAUCUGGGAGGAGAAUGUCACGUCGCCCGAGAAAGGAAGUGGGAGGCGUGCAGGUGAGAGAAUAAGGGGCGUGGCGUGGGAGAGUCCAAGGAAAUGGGGCUGUGGACGCUUGCGCUUGUUCCGUUCCUGGCGGUGGGAAUCGCCGUGUGCCGUUGUGAUGUGCGGGGUGGCCAUGAUUGCGCCUCUGUUUGUCUGUCACCUUUUUCCCUUGCGCAUUGCUGCAGCAGCAGGGCAGGGGAGAGGUCUGCAUGCCCUGCCAUGCCCUGCCCUGCUGCUCGUACUAGCUCGCUACUACUCCCUUCCCCCUCUCCAUCCAAACGGGCACUGCGAGCUUUUCCUGGUCUAUAAUGGCGUCGUUGGAGCUGUAGUACGUGCUGUUCGUAGCAACUGUGGGCAGCGCUUUCAGGUGUGGAACUGUGCACUCCAUGAGCCAUUGUCUUCGUUUGCGUGUGUGAACGUGUUGGAGAGUCUGGGAGCAGAAAGUCUGCGUUGAACGUUACUUCUUUGGGUCUUUGACUGGUGCGUCCAUAGAUCUGUGAAUGGGAGCGCUGAUUGCACGCUGCGUAGUACAGUGCGUUCGAGUAACGCUGAGACGGCGUGCUGCUUUGAAGUUUCAACUUUUGGUUAAUUCAGGAAAGUUGAUUGAUCUUAUGUUUUUUGACGGCCAGGUAAACACGGCCAAUUGCACCGGCGUCAAAAAGACCUCUGUCAUCCGAUGCUUUGGACAGUAAUUGAGAUAUUCGUAACAAAUGCUUCACUACCCGAAGAGAAAACUAGUUUUCGUUGGUUUCCGCAUUUUGUGAAAAUAAGAAAGGGCAUGUUUGAGUCAGAGUCGGGUUAUUAUAAUUGGAUUAUCGACUCUAAUAAUUAGAGUGCUAGAUUUUUUGUGGUGGAACCUAUCCAUUUCUUGCCUAGCCAGCCAACUAUCAUGAUGCUACAUGGUAUUUAAGUAACGACCAUUUUCUCAAAUGGUCAAGGAUUAUAUUCUUCUUUGAUUUUUUUUUCCCUUCAAGUGGCCUAGGGUUUUGUAGUCUAAUGUGAACAAUAUCAGGUGAAAACAAAAUAGCAUCAAAGAAUAGAUAGCCAAAAUGCCUAACGAAAAGGAAAAUUGUGGGUUACAUGUCUCAUGAAUUAUUUGAUGAAGUAGAAUAAGAUACGUUCGGUUAUUUGAGAGAAAAAAAAACUGCACAACAUAAAAAAAUAACUGUUUGCCUAGUUGGCUAAGAAAAAAUAUAGUGGGCUCCAUGGCUCCUAAGACUCUUUAAAUAUCAUGUAAAUGGAUAUAAAAGAAGUCAAUAAAUCAUUCUGCUGAUAUUGACUGAAUUAUUUGCUAUCAACAAUUAUCCAAAAAAGAUUUCUUUAAGAAUAAUAUUUCUACCAUGUAAAACAAGAAGAAAAAGACAAAUUAAUCGGAACUUUUGUUUGUGGCUGGAACUAUUGUAAAUGUCAUUGUUGAGUUGAGAUAUUUUUUUUUUGAAGUUCCCUUUUUGCGAGGAAUGAGUAAUCUGAACGUUAUUUGUUUGUGGUUGUUGAUUCCCUGGAGCUGUUAUAGAAGUCAUUAUUGAGUAGAGAUUUUUUGAAGUUCCUUUUUGCAACGAAUGAGUAAAUAGUUGCAUAGAUGUUUGAUGGUAUUAGCAUACUCUGCUUCUAAAAUAAUGAAAGGGAUUUUCCGUUACUAUUUAGUUGUGGACUGAGGCCUGAAGAAGUAUGUUUUGAAACUCGGAAUUUCAUGGAGGAUUUGUAGGAAUCCCAUAUAUAAUAAACAUGUCAAAAUUAAUCCUCCUAUAUUUUCUUGGUCAUUUUCUAGAGCUAGGCUCAUUUAUCUUUAAUUUGUCUAGUGAAGAGUAUAUGUAUAUCCUUUGCUCCAAACAUGUAGUGGUGAGUGGAGUUUACUAAUAUUAUUAUGUGUAGUUAACCUAGAACUAGAAGCUUGGUAACUGAGCCUUAUCUAAUCUGGCCCUAAACUAACUUAUCAUCCAAACUGAUCAGUUGGAGUCUUGUGACGAUGAUAUCUCUGGUUUGUUGUGGAACGGGACUAGUACUGCCGGACAUAUUAUACAUUGGAUGCAUGCGACAUAUAUACAGUGUUGAACUUGUUUAUAUUAAUUUAUCCUGGAUAGCCAAUAGUAGCCCAUAACAUUAACAUGCAACAUAGUAUAUGCAUUUGCAUGUACUGCUAGUUCCCUGCUACGUACGAUCCUGACAGUAGGCACCUAAUCUUUCCAUGCCCCAAUAUUUUACCGCCGCUGUCGCUUCCAUUCUAGAGAGAGAACAAUAUGACCAUCUUGUAAAACAUUCUAGAGAAGAGAUGCAUGGAGAGUAUGGCAAUAAUUUAAGCAGAUUGAUGGGAGCGAGAUAUUUUUAAAGGCAGAUCAUCGAUUGAUGCAUGGGAGCGAGAGAGCUUAGCAGAGAAAAUAAAGAAGAUUGGUGAUUGGUGAUAGGCCGGGGCAGCCGUGGUGCAGCAGCAGCUAGAACUAGAGAAGCUAAAAGGAAGGCUGAUGGCAGGGCAGGGCAGUAGUUUAAGGACGGGUCCAUGCCUGCAGCUAGCUAGCAUCUAUCGACGUUCCUCCGUUGUCGCGGAGCCGGUGGACGCGAAUGGCAUGCGUGGGUGCACUACCCUGCUGAUGCACACAGCAUGCAUUGCUGCCUGCAUGCGACAUGGUAUACAGCUCCCGGCCGGCGUCUCUCCUCUCCUCUCUUCUCUUCUCUUGUCCAUCCAUCGGCAGCAUACGGUCGGUCACUCGCAGCAUGCAUGCUCCUCUGAUCGAGCUCUGCUGGUGUCGUGUCGUGUCGUCGAUGGAUCGGGGCCGGGUUGGGUGUUGCUGCAUUGCAUGCUCCCUAAAGCGCCGCCCUUGUUGCCAAAGUGAAUGCUGCCGACGACGACCGCCGCGCCGCCCGUCUUCUUUUUCGGCGGAGGGGGGCGGCCGGGCACGGGCACGGGCACGGCACAGUCUUCCGGGCAGGGGCAGGGGCAGCCGGGCAAGCCAACACCUGCUAGCGGACGAGAAAUUGAAUCGAAUGGGAAACAAAGAAAAAAUUGAUGGCUGAUGGCUCCAUCUUUCUUUCUGUCUGUCUGUCUGUCGGUCAGUCAUUUUACUAAUUUAUUUGACUGCGCUACGGAGACGACAGUGUAACAUUUUUAUUUGUAUUUAAUAAUUAUUAUUUAACUAUAGACUAAUUAGGCUCAAAAGAUUCGUCGCGUAAACUAUAGACAAACUGUGCAAUUAGUUUUUAUUUUCGUCUAUAUUUAGUACUUUAUACAUGUGCCACAAGAUUUGAUAUGACGGGAAAUUUUAAAAAGUUUUUGAAUUUCGAAGUGAACUGGUCAAAUAUGCAAUGCUUGUACGUGCGCACUAGUUUAUGCCAAUGAUUCAUUUUUCGCGGAUCCUCCGAAUUUCACACCAUACAGUCAGAAUAUAAUUGCUCCAAGACACGUCAAUUUUGAUGCGUCAAUUUGUGCAUGUGGUUCCUGGCACUACUGGAUCCGGCUUCUUUGCCGAGAGCCGCGAGCCCUCGGCAAAUGCCUAAAAGCCCUCGGCAAAGGCUUUGCCGAGGGCCAUAAACGCCCUCGGCAAAGCCUACGGCGCCGUCGAAAAACGUCAAUAUUGACGUCGUCUUUGCCGAGAGCCAUGCUGGCAGGCUCUCGGCAAAGAUUCUUUAUUUUUUUUAAAAAAAGCCUUUGCCGAGAGCCCUGCAGGAAGGCUCUCGGCAAAGAACCCCUUUGCCGAGAGCCAGACAUCCAGGCUCUCGGCAAAGAACCCCUUUGCCGAGAGCCAGACAUCCAGGCUCUCGGCAAAGCUGUAGUUCUUCUGAACCCGGCUUUCUAUCUUUGCCGAGUGCCAGCCAUCCAUGCUCUCGGCAAAGCUGAGAAUUUAGUUUUUUUUUCUGUUUUUUAUCUGUUUUUUACAUGCACAGCCACAUAUGUAUAUAUAUAUAUCACAAAUCCCUUUGUCUAUAUCACAAUCCACAUAUAUAUCACGCAUGAAACAUAUCGAAGUCCACAGAUAUCACAAAUCCACAUAGAUAUGACAAAUAUAACAUUACGUCCAACAUAAACCAUAAGUCACCACAAGUUCAUAACAUAAACCACAAGUCCACGUGAAUAUCACUCCUCGAAGUCGCUAGCGCCUCACCCCUAGUGCUGUGACUCUGACCUGUCGUCGCCGUGGCCUCCGUCGUGUCCCGAGCCUCCAUCUGGCCAAGCCGACCAGGGUGAGUGCCCCCCAGGGUGUGUAGAGCUCGCACCUGCCCACGGCGCCCACAUGGCCUGCCCUGGCACCGACGGGUACGGGUACGAGUACCCGGGGCGCGGAGGAGGGCUGCCGGACAACCCGGGGUGGCCGUGCUGCGGAUGGGCACCAGGCCACGUGUGCUGCGUACUUGGGUGGCCAUAAGUAGUAACCUGCCACCCACUCCUUGGAGAAGGGGUCGGGUUCGAACCCCACGACUGAUGCUACAUAAUAUAAAAGCGAACUCAUUAGUAUCUGCAGGACGGCCACACAAGCCAAAGCAAUAGACAAACAUAUAUACACUCACCGGACUGCCUGCAGGGGCAGGAACAGGGGGUGGAACAGGGGGUGGAGCGAAGAGCGAGGCAGGCAGCGGAGGCGCUGUAGAGCUGUGGAUGGACUGGAAGUAUCCGACUAGGUCCGAGAUCUGACGCUGCGUGUGCUGCUGCUGUGCCUCCAUGUGGCGCCGAUGGGCCUCGUCUCUGGCCGCCAGCGCGGCCGCCAGCUCUCGCCGAUGAGCCUCCUGCAGCUCGUCCUGCCUGGCCCGCAACUCCUCUAGCUGCGACUGCAAUAUUACACCCGCAAUGGUUAAACAAUGCAAAAGGAGAUGUAUAUAUGUAAAAAUAAUGGACGAUGGAUAAAGCUGUAGUUACCUGCAUCGUAGCUAUCUGCUGCACGGAGCUCGGCUGACGAGGCCGUAUGGGGACGUCGGAGGUCGAGCUGCUCCCCUGCCGAACCUCGCGGAGCGUGGGUACGGUGGCCGGGUUGAUUGCGCUGUGGGCAAUCAUGUACCGGCCGUGCUGCUUCCCUCCUCCCGUCCUCAUGAGCAAGUCCGUGUCCGAGACCCUUUGCCGUGGGCCGUCCAGUCUGGCUCUCGGCAAAGACCCUUUGCCGUGAGCCUAACGCGCAGGCUCUCGGCAAAGAACUGCUGACUUUUUUUAUUCUUUUUGAAUUUAGAGCUGAGUUUUUUUUUUUGUCCUUGUGACUCAAUUUCUAAAUACAUUUUAAAAUUUGGCAUUAAUUUGACUUUUUUUGCUAUAUUUAACUAAUUAAUCUUGUUUCUUUAUAUUUUUUCACAUAAUUCAAAUUUCAACUGUAGGUACAUGAAAUAUUACAACUCAAUGAUUCGAAAAAUGAUAGUCAAGAUAUUUGGUGUACGUUGAGGUCGUAACCACAACCACACAUGAAAUCUCAACCCUCUCGCUAACAUAACAUGUCAAGGAAUGUGAGGGAAAAUGGAUUUAUAAUUAUAUAAAUUUCAAAUAAACUCCAAAAAUCACGAAACUUGGCGACGUGUCGUGUUAUCGCAUGUGGAGGCUGUGGUAAAAAAUUCAUAAGGUUCCGAGCAAGUUGCGACACCGGAUGUCUAAAACCCAGACAUCUCCACAUGUUAUCGAAUGUGAUCACAUGCGGAGAUGUCUGGGUUUUAGACAUCUCGUGUCGCAACUUACUCGAAACCUUAUGAUUUUUUUACCACAGUCUCCACAUGCCAUAACAUGACACAUCGUCAAGUUUCGUGAUUUUUGGACUUCAUUUGGAAUUUAUAUAAUUAAAAAUCACUUGUACGACACAUGGAUGGUCAUGUUUUAUAUACAAGAAAUUCAAACUCUUGGGUGAGUUUAUGGAUACAACAUCAAAAUGCAGUCUUGAACAUGAGUAUAAUUUUUUGAAUGACUAUAUUUUAUUAUUUCAUGCUCCUACAGUUCAAAAUUACUUUUUCGAGAAAAAUACAAAUAAAAUAAUUUAAUUAAAAAAUAUAGCAAAAUGUUAUAAAAAGCUCUCAAAUUUGAACAUGUGCUUAUAUACAAUAUGUAAGGGUUACAGAAAAAGUUUGAGUACAAAACUAAAAAAAAUCUUUCUUCUUUGCCGAGAGCUUGACAAGGCACUUGGCAAAGGCCUCCUCUUUGCCGAGAGCCUAACGCCGUGGCUCUCGGCAAAGGUGACGACAACGGUUGCCGUUACCAGCGCUGCUCCUUUGCCGAGAGCCUAUCUUUGCCGAGAGCUAGGCUGUCGGCAAAGCUAGCCUUUGCCGAGGGCUUGCCUUUGCCGAGAGCUUGACCAUCGGUAAAGUUUCUUUGCCGAGGGUCGUUUCUGACUGUCGGCAAAGGCAGUCUUUGCCGAGGGCUAGCUCUCGGCAAAGCUGAGCCCUCGGCAAAGCUCUCGUUUCCUGUAGUGUGGGCUUUGAAUUGAUCGAUGGCAAAAAGCCGUAAUGGAAGCACGUCGCGUCUUGAAUGCAUGCACUAUAUAGGAAUAUAGCUACACAAAAGAAGAGAAAUAAUGACACACAUAGUAGUAGCUAGCUAGUAAAGUGUGUAUGUAAGGCCUUGUUUAGUUCCCAGAAAAUUUUGCAAAAUUUUUCACGGUCCCCGUCACAUCGAAUCUUUAAACGCAUACAUAAAGUAUUAAAUAUAGACGAAAAUAAAAACUAAUUGCACAGUUUGGUCGAAAUAGACGAAACGAAUCUUUUGAGCCUAGUUAGUCCAUGAUUGGAUAAUAUUUGUCAAAUACAAACGAAAGUGCUACAGUGUCGAUUUUGCAAAAUUUUUCGGAACUAAACAAGGCCUAAACCUAAAAGCCCAUGCAUUAUUGCUUUUUAAAAAGUUAAAGCGGUGAUGGAUGGUUUUGUUCAUGGCUCGAGGAGGAUGUGUCCUAGCUAGUUGUUGGUGGGGGAGGUGAGAGUACCUAGGAAAAUUUGCUUACAUUUUCCUGUACAUGCAUGCAUGCAACGCUAAUUGGAUGGAUAUGGUCGGAACAUGCAUGGGUCCACCAUUCACAUCUCUUGGUCCUACACGCACGCCUACUAUUGUGAUGCGUCUCAGCUUUUUAAUGUGCCUGCGUUGCAUGCAUGCAGCUGGGUACGUAAGGACACGCCGCAAGCUGCCCAAACUCUAGCUCUGCUUCCCGCAUUGCAUUGCAUUGUAUCUACCUCGUGGCGCAUUAGGGUUAGAGAGAGAGAGAGAGAGAGAGAGAGAGAGAGAGAGAGAGAGAGAGAGAGAGAGAGAGAGAAGUGUGGUAUAGCUAGCAUGCAUCCAUAUAUAUCCGAUCGACCUGUAGUUCAUGGCACAUUCAUUAGGUUUGGAAGAGUGAGAUCGAGGCAGGACGAUAUGUAGUACGUCGUCGUCCUUCGUAUAAACGGACAUUCGCUCAAUGUUGAAUUGUUGACAGACGACGAUGCGCGCGGCACUUUGUUUGACCAUGCAUGCAUUCAUCCGUGCAUGCAUGGAGCGUCUAUGUGCUUGUCCCUGAAUAAACUAAUUAAUCACUGCACGAACUCGAUCGCCUUGCUGUCAACUUAGCUUAGCUUAUUACAAGUGUGUUAACGACAAGCAAUCAUGGAAAUGAGCUGCAUAUAGACACUGUUCACAAUGCACGUUAUGUUGGAGCACUAGCUAUAGCUAAUUAAUGAGCCAGCAAUUAACAAAACGCCUGCUAAACCAAAAUAUGCAUUUAAGCCAUGUUUCGUUUCCUCCGGUAAAGUUUAACUCCUGUCAUAUCGAGUGUUUGGACACAUGCAUUAAAUAUUAAAUAUAAAUUAUUUACAAAACUAAAAUAAAACUAGAGAGUAAUUUGCGAAAUAAAUCUUUUAAAUCUAGUUAGUCUAUAAUUAGAUACUAAUUGUCAAAUAAAACAGAAAUAUGCUAUAUGCUACAGUACAUCCUUAACCGGCAAGUACAGGCCGGGUGAGGCAUGUCGGAUGCUAGAGAUGGCCAAAUGGGCUAAGCCCAAUAAUACGCAGCCUAAGCACAUAUGGGCCUACUAAAGCAUCGCAUUACAUUAUGGGUCGAGCCACUAUGUGUCUCGUGCCCUUUUUUACCAUUCAAAAUGGGUGCUCUCAGGAUGGAUCAUAAUUAUGCCCCUUUUUAAUUCGAGAGCAAUGUUGAUCAAAUUUCGUCGUAGUUGCAGCACAGCCAAAAAAAAAAACUAACAAAAAGAGCCUGUCAGACAACCCAUGGGCCAUCCCAGCCAGGCAAGCCUGGCCGGAAACGAUCAUCUACAGCACCGGACAAAGCGUCAGAGCCAAUCCUGGCCGUUAAUCACGCUCUGGCCCACAGGUCAUGGCUCAUCAACCAGGCUUAAGUGCUUGCCUCCUUAUUAAUCAAGGAUGCAGCGGUACGAUCCUAUAGAACAGAUCCUGUUCAAGUAAGGUCGU
rnacentral:lncRNA from 1 species